rnacentral:rRNA from 1 species
UACGGAGGAUGCAAGCGUUAUCCGGAAUGAUUGGGCGUAAAGCGUCCGCAGGUGGCUGUGUAAGUCUGCUGUUAAAGAGUCUAGCUCAACUAGAUACAAGCAGUGGAAACUACACGGCUAGAGUACGUUCGGGGCAGAGGGAAUUCCUGGUGUAGCGGUGAAAUGCGUAGAGAUCAGGAAGAACGCCGGUGGCGAAGGCGCUCUGCUAGGCCGUAACUGACACUGAGGGACGAAAGCUAGGGGAGCGAAUGGG